UAAUUUAUCUAGAAUAUAUUCUUAUUUGGUUAUGUAAAUUUACACUCGACUGCUUAUAUUCACCAAUUAUUAUAUGAAUAAUAACUUUUGAGAUUUUAAUUGGAAUUUAAU
rfam:Populus trichocarpa scaffold_6_contig_389, whole genome shotgun sequence.